rnacentral:rRNA from 1 species
CCUACGGGAUGCAGCCGUGGGGGAUAUUGCACAAUGGGGGAAACCCUGAUGCAGCGACGCCGCGUGGGUGAAGAAGCGCCUCGGCGCGUAAAGCCCUGUCAGCAGGGAAGAAAAUGACGGUACCUGAAGAAGAAGCACCGGCUAACUCCGUGCCAGCAGCCGCGGUACCACGUAGGGGUCAAGCGUUAUCCGGAUUUACUGGGGGUAAAGGGGGCGCAGACGGCGGUGUAAGCUAGGAGUGAAACCCCGGGGCCCAACCCCGGUUCUGCUGUUGGUACUGCGUGGCUAGAGUGCAGGAGGGGUAGGCGGAAUUCCUGGUGUAGCGGUGAAAUGCGUAGAUAUCAUGAGGAACACCGGUGGCGAAGGCGGCCUGCUGGACUGCAACUGACGUUGAGGCCCGAAAGCGUGGGGAGCAAACAGGAUUAGAUACCCCUGUAGUC